UCAGAUAAAUGAUGAAAAUUUAAUUUUUAGUUUAAGUAUGUCCUGUGCAAUAUUUGGGACAUACUUGUACUAAAAAAUAAAUU
rnacentral:miRNA from 1 species